GCGGUGUAGGUGGAAGUGGCGGUGGAGGAGGAGGUAGCCAACACUGUUUUUAUAUAUAUAUAUAUAUAUAUAUAUAUAUUAUUUUAUUUUAAUUGGGGUAGCCCCCAAAAAUAUUGGGACAUAUAAAAAAGACAACUCUGUUCCGCAGAGUAGCUGUUGACAUUAUAGUUAAACAGGCACUUUAUUGACUCUAGAGAACCUCGGGCCAAUCGAACAUCCCCGUGACGGCGACUUUGCAUUUGGAUGUCAUCCAUAUCAACUUUCGAUGCCAGUUUCUGCUCCUGCCAUGGUGACCACGGGUAACGGGGAAUCAGGGACCCUGAGAAACGGCUACCACAUGCAAGGAAGGCAGCAGGCG